rnacentral:lncRNA from 1 species
GGUAGUGGUUAAAUUGAUUAUCUUGUAAUGUAUUUCAAAUGGUGACGAAGAGAUUGGGAAAGCUUACUGACCAUCCGACUCUGUAGCUUGUAUCAUGUGAGUGAAAAAACUUAUUUUUCAAAAAUAAGUAUUUAUUGAAUUUAUAUUAAAUCAAAAAAUUAAAUAUUUUAUAUAGCUAGUUUGACAAUAUAAUUUUUCAGAAUAAAGUGCUUUCAAUUCUUUUUAAAGUUAAAUUUUGCUCAGUUAAAUCAUUUCAUUAGAUGUUAUAGUUGUAUUAAAUAUUUUAGCGUAUCUAAAGUUGUUUUCAAAACUACCAUAAAGUACCCAUGUAAUUUUACUCGGUCUGCAUUGGUGUGAUUGUGUUUUCACAAUGUGUGACCCCAUAUGAUUAUUUUAUUCACUCUAUAUUGUAGUGAGUUUCCACAAUAUAUAAUCAGUUAUGGUUAUUUUACUCGCUCUGCACCAUUGUGAUUAUAUUUUCAUAGUGUAUGACUAGAUUAUUGCUUUUGAGCAACUCUGCACGCGUAUGACCAGAAUUUCAAAUUUUAGAAUUGAAUAACUUUAUCAUGUACAUUGAGAUUAAUCAAUGCAUGAUUAUGGUUAUUCUGAGUACCUUUUUAGUGUGAUUUUCAGUAAUAUAUACAACUCAUUAGAUUUUAAAUUAUAGAAAUUAGUUUAUUCAAUUUAAAUAAUAAAGAUUUUAGCUUAUAAUACUGUAAAAUGAUAUUUUUAUUAUAUAUUAGUUUUCAGAAUGUUGGCAUAAAUAGAAAAAAAAUAUAUUUAUUUGUUAGAUAUCCACUCCCUGAGUUAUAAGUUCAUAUAUUUUGACAACAUUUUUCUUAUCAAAUAGUAGUUGAGUUGAGCAGCAUUGUAUCCCAUUGAUCUAUCAAGUGGAGCCACAUAUUGUCAGUUGUUGUAUGUCUCAUCUUGUCAAUUUUUACAAUACAUAUUUUUGGAAUACGUGCAUUUUUGUUAAAAAAUAAAAAAUAAUAAAAAUGUAUCCAUAUCAUAUGCUCAUUACAUAAUUGAUAUCUUUUCAAUAUGUUGGACAUUUAGAGUCUUUUGGCUUGUUAAGAAGUGUAAAUUCAUUCCUGUGCAAUUUAUUUUGAAUAGUUUGUAUUUGAAGGAUUGGUGUACUUUAUUUCAAAUUAUAUGUACAAAUUUGAGAAAACUGAUUGUUGUUCAGGUAGUUUUAGUCUAUAUUUCAGAAGAAACUCAAUCAAUUUUUUUUUUUUUAAAUUCAUCACAGUCAAAGCAAAUCAAUGUCGCCUUGGUGUUGGGUCUAGAAUUUAGCUAAUAUCUACCAUCGACUCACGAUAUGUGUCGAAUUUAUUAGAGUGAUUCGAGAUGGAUCAUGUCACUUUCUACUUUUAUAAUGCAACCACUGUUCAACGAAACUCAAGGAGGUCAUUUCCUGCAUGCAUAUUUUCAUAUAUAGAGUGACCUUAUCAUGUAAGUAUAAAAAGAGGCCUGCUACUGAUCCAGGCUCAGGGACAAAUCAAAAACAGGGGGCUGAGAUUCAGAUCCCUGUUUUUCAUCUGUCCAUGGGCAUGGAUGACCAGCAUUAGUGGUAUGAAAAUGCUACCUAUUUUUGGCACCUCAGCCCCCUGUUUUUUAUCUGUCCAUGGGCCUAGAUGACUAGCAUUAGUGGUAUGAAAAUUGCUACCUAUUUUUUUAGCGGUCUACAAGACAAGCCUGGAGCAACUCGUUAAAGCAUCA